rnacentral:rRNA from 1 species
UACAUGGGGUGCAAACGUUGUUCGGAAUUACUGGGCGUAAAGCGCACGUAGGCGGAUCGAUCAGUCAGGGGUGAAAUCCCAGGGCUCAACCCUGGAACUGCCUUUGAUACUGUCGAUCUGGAGUAUGGAAGAGGGUCGCGGAAUUCCCGGUGUAGAGGUGAAAUUCGUAGAUAUCGGGAGGAACACCAGUGGCGAAGGCGGCGACCUGGGCCAAUAUUGACGCUGAGGUGCGAAAGCGUGGGGAGCAAACAGGG